rnacentral:rRNA from 1 species
UAGGGAAUAUUAGAAAUGGACGAAAGUCUGAUCUAGCAACACCGCGUGUGCGAAGAAGGCCUUAGGGUUGUAAAGCACUUUUUGGAAGGAUUAGGAAGGAAUGUACUUCCAGAAUAAGUCUCGGCUAACUACGUGCCAGCAGCCGCGGUAACACGUAGGAGGCAAACGUUAUACGGAUUUAAUGGGCGUAAAGCGAGUGUGGGUGGUUCUGUAAGUAGGGCGUGAAAGCUCCUGGCUCAACUGGGAGAGGCCGUUCUAAACUGCAGAGCUAGAGUAUGGUAGAGGGAGGUGGAAUUCCGGGUGUAGCGGUGGAAUGCGCAGAUAUCCGGAGGAACACCAGUGGCGAAAGCGGCCUCCUGGACCAUUCCUGACACUCAGACGCGAAAGCUAGGGUAGCAAACG